GAUUAACGCUGGCGGCAUGCCUAAUACAUGCAAGUCGAACGGAAGCAGCAAUGCUUUAGUGGCGAACGGGUGAGUAACACGUAGGGAACCUACCUAUACGACGAGGAUAACUACUGGAAACGGUAGCUAAAACUGGAUAGGAUCAAUUGAGGCAUCUUGAUUGAUUUAAAGAUCCUUCGGGAUUACGUAGAGAUGGCCCUGCGGCGCAUUAGCUAGUUGGUGAGGUAACGGCCCACCAAGGCGACGAUGCGUAGCUGAGCUGAGAGGCUAAACAGCCACACUGGGACUGAGACACGGCCCAGACUCCUACGGGAGGCAGCAGUAGGGAAUUUUCGGCAAUGGGGGAAACCCUGACCGAGCAAUGCCGCGUGAACGAUGAAGGUCUUCGGAUUGUAAAGUUCUGUGAUUGGGGAAGAAUGGUAUUCUUAGGGAAUGAGGAGUACAUGACGGUACCCGAUUAGAAAGCCCCGGCUAACUACGUGCCAGCAGCCGCGGUAAAU
rnacentral:rRNA from 1 species